rnacentral:rRNA from 1 species
UACGUAGGGUGCGAGCGUUAAUCGGAAUUACUGGGCGUAAAGCGUGCGCAGGCGGUUCGUUAAGUUCGAUGUGAAAGCCCCGGGCUCAACCUGGGAACUGCAUUGGAAACUGGCGAGCUUGGGUGUGGCAGAGGGGGGUGGAAUUCCGCGUGUAGCAGUGAAAUGCGUAGAGAUGCGGAGGAACACCGAUGGCGAAGGCAGCCCCCUGGGCCAACACUGACGCUCAGGCACGAAAGCGUGGGGAGCAAACAGGAUUAGAACCUACCGAGU